AGCGAACGCUGGCGGCAGGCCUAACACAUGCAAGUCGAACGAACCCUUCGGGGUUAGUGGCGGACGGGUGAGUAACACGUGGGAACGUGCCUUUAGGUUCGGAAUAACUCAGGGAAACUUGUGCUAAUACCGAAUGUGCCCUUCGGGGGAAAGAUUUAUCGCCUUUAGAGCGGCCCGCGUCUGAUUAGCUAGUUGGUGAGGUAAUGGCGCACCAAGGCUACGAUCAGUAGCUGGUCUGAGAGGAUGACUAGCCACAUUGGGACUGAGACACGGCCCAAACUCCUACGGGAGGCAGCAGUGGGGAAUCUUGCGCAAUGGGCGAAAGCCUGACGCAGCCAUGCCGCGUGGAUGAUGAAGGUCUUAGGAUUGUAAAAUCCUUUCACCGGUGAAGAUAAUGACUGUAGCCGGAGAAGAAGCCCCGGCUAGCUACGUGCCAGCCGCCGCCGUAAGAC
rnacentral:rRNA from 1 species